AAAUAGUUCAGCUUGGUCUCAGAGCCAUGGGGACCCAGGAGACACCUCGGUUCUAGGUAAUCUUUGACUUUUAGACUCUGGCUUUGGCAAAUCGUGUGAGGACAGUUGUGUAACUCCUGGUCACGGGGCAGUGGAUUGGAACAAAGUAGAGCACGGCACUCUGAAGACAGCGGAGUUUAGGUCCCAGCCCUUUUGUAUUCUGGCGAGUCUUAAAGGGCUUGUUAAAACCCAGAAGGAAGGGCGUACUCAUGCUGACGUCACAGGCCAGUGUGGUUCACAAAGUUGGUGUGCAACAGAAACUCGGGAAAGUCCUGAUAAUGCCACACGGCUCAGCUCUGUCUCUCCUGGCCUCCGCCUCAAUACGGAGUGUGGGACAGAACCUGAGACCAUGCAUUUCCACCGGGUCCCUGGAGACGCUGAGCCACACUUUGAGCUGGGAAUGACUGAAGAAUGAGCCAGCAUCGAGGAUACAGGAUGCAUUUGUCAAAGUGAGAGAGGCGUGUACGAUCACUUGGUAUGACUUGAGAUUUCUGCCUUAUAAAGGAAUGUCUCUGCCCUUCUGGGAGAUCAGUUAAGAGAUGUUCAGCUUCAGCAAUUUCUCUACCAAGGCCGCACAUGGUAAACCCCAGACUGCUCCCAUUUGCCAGGUCCCUGGCAAUGGCAUGUUGGAAGCUAAAAAGCAGAAUGACGUCUUGACCAGAAAAUGGAGUCUCUAAGCAUGGACCCUGGCUGCUUCUACCAACCAUCACCCUGAGGUCUCUGUCAAGGCCAGCCAGAGGAGGAAGGGGGCAGCAUCUUGCUUUGAAGGUUCUGACGCAGCCUAACAAUCAGCACAUGUUUUUUGAGACCCACUGGAGGAUAUGGGUGUGGUGGGGAGGGAUCAAGUGUUUGGCCUAUCCCAGGGGAUAUUAGUCACCCAAAUUAUGUCUCAGGAUUGAAAAAAAUGUCAGACAAGUUCAUACAUGGGGAGUAGCCAUCAGGCUGGCCACUCCUUGUUGGAACUUGAGGUUUGGAAUUCUGAUUUGCCUUCUUUUUCUUCCCUGAAUUGAAUAAAGCCUUCAAGAAGCGUGCUGGGAA